rnacentral:rRNA from 1 species
CCUACGGGAGGCAGCAGCUAGGAAUCUUGCGCAAUGGACGAAAGUCUGACGCAGCGACGCCGCGUGCGGGAUGAAGGCCUUAGGGUCGUAAACCGCUUUCAGCAGGGACGCGGUACCUGCAGAAGAAGCCCCGGCCAACUACGUGCCAGCAGCCGCGGUAAUACGUAGGGGGCGAGCGUUGUCCGGAUUUAUUGGGCGUAAAGAGCUCGUAGGCGGUUUGGUAAGUCGGAUGUGAAAUCUCCAGGCUCAACUUGGAGGGGUCAUUCGAUACUGCCAGACUAGAGUUCGGUAGGGGAAUGUGGAAUACCUGGUGGAGCGGUGAAAUGCGCAGAUAUCAGGUGGAACACCCGUAGCGAAGGCGGCAUUCUGGGCCGUCUGACGCUGAGGAGCGAAAGCGUGGGGAGCGAACAGGAUUAGAUACCCUUGUAGUC